GAGAGAGAGGAGGGGGCUCCUGCCUCUAAAAUGAGUCUCUCUGGCGAGAGGAAGGAGGGGGGCCCUGCCUCUAAAAUGAGUCUCUCUGGGGAGAGAGAGGAGGGGGGCCCUGCCUCUAAAAUGAGUCUCUCUGGCGAGAGAGAGAAGGGGGGCCCUGCCUCCAAAAUGCAUCUCUCUGGCGGACAUAACACCAAAGCUAAGAGACCAAUCAAGCAGGAGAGACCAGCCUCCCCUGUUCCCAGCUGUGUGUCCAUGAAGAGUGACAAGUCUAUGAAUCAUCCUAUACACUUUAGAGAGGGAGACUUUUCUACUGAACAAAGAAACCAACAGGAGAGAUCAGAGUCAGAGAUUCUCAGUGGUCAGUCUUCCCAGAGUCAUCAAACAGACCUGGACUCUAUAUUCAGUGUAUGUGAUCCUGUUAUGUACAUUUGUUUUUGUUUUCCUCAAGUAAUGUUUCUUUCAAUUAUUAAUUCAUGUGUUAAUGAGAAAGCAUUUCUUCUCUUGCUUAACUUAUUUACUUGAUUUAUUUCAGUUGCUUGAAGAGAAAAUUAUAACAUUUGUGAAGAACGAGCUGAAGAUGUUCAAGAGGAUUCUUGGUC